rnacentral:lncRNA from 1 species
ACGCUCGAAAUUAAUUAUCUGAAUCUGAAAAAUAGAAAGAAAGGUAAUGAGCUAGACAGCCCAGUAAGUAACAAAUAUCUCAACUAGAUAAUUCAGAUAUUAUAUAAUUUUCAAGAAUAAUGUUGCAAAUAAACAUAAGAGUAUAUUUCAUGCUGAUUUAAUACAAAUCAAAUAUUUUUAAAUAUUCACAUAUAAUAUAAUCAUAAAUCCGAUUCGAUUCAAAACACUCGUAACUCAACAGCCUUGACUAUGACCAACNNNN